rnacentral:rRNA from 1 species
AACGAACGCUGGCGGCAUGCCUAACACAUGCAAGUCGAACGAGACCUUCGGUCUAGUGGCGCACGGGUGCGUUACGCGUGGGAAUCUGCCCUUCGGUUGGGAAUAACCGAGAGAAAUUUUAGCUAAUACCUUAUAAUGUCUUCGGACCAAAGAUUUAUCGCCGAGGGAUGAGCCCGCGUAGGAUUAGGUAGUUGGUGGGGUAAUGGCCUACCAAGCCGACGAUCCUUAGCUGGUCUGAGAGGAUGAUCAGCCACACUGGGACUGAGACACGGCCCAGACUCCUACGGGAGGCAGCAGUGGGGAAUAUUGGACAAUGGGCGAAAGCCUGAUCCAGCAAUGCCGCGUGAGUGAUGAAGGCCUUAGGGUUGUAAAGCUCUUUUACCCGGGAUGAUAAUGACAGUACCGGGAGAAUAAGCUCCGGCUAACUCCGUG